rnacentral:rRNA from 1 species
UACGUAGGUGGCAAGCGUUGUCCGGAAUUAUUGGGCGUAAAGCGCGCGCAGGUGGUUUCUUAAGUCUGAUGUGAAAGCCCACGGCUCAACCGUGGAGGGUCAUUGGAAACUGGGGAACUUGAGUGCAGAAGAGGAAAGUGGAAUUCCACGUGUAGCGGUGAAAUGCGUAGAGAUGUGGAGGAACACCAGUGGCGAAGGCGGUGCUCUGGGCCGGAACUGACGCUGAGGAGCGAAAGCGUGGGGAGCAAACAGG